AAAAGCUCAGAGUACGAACUGAGCUCAAUCAUUGACUUGAGCUAUUUUUAGACACCCUGAGUCUUACAAACAAAUGGCGGCAUCGAAAGUGGUUUUCUCCUGUGUUCACUGUGUUUUUCACUUCUCAGAGGUUACCGCCACCAGGUUAUGGACGCCCACCAAUCAGCAAUGAAGAAGGGGGGAAUCCUUACUUUGGAUAUUUUGGAUAUCAUGGCUUUGGGGGUCGCGCUCCUUAUUAUUCAGAAGAAAUGUUUGAACAAGAUUUUGAAAAACCCAAAGAAGAAGAUCCUCCUAAAGCAGAAAGUCCAGGCACAGAACCCACAGCUAAUUCAACAGUCACUGAGACGAAUUCUACCCAACCAAAUCCUAAAGGGAGUCAGGGAGGAAAUGACACCAGCCCCACAGGAAACAGUACCCCAGGACUAAACACUGGGAACAACCCUCCAGCUCAAAAUGGGAUUGGCCCACUCCCUGCAGUCAACGCUUCAGGCCAGGGAGGGCCAGGAAGUCAAAUCCCAUGGAGACCAAGUCAGCCAAAUAUUCAUGAAAAUCGUCCA
rnacentral:sRNA from 1 species